rnacentral:rRNA from 1 species
AUUGAACGCUGGCGGCAGGCCUAACACAUGCAAGUCGAACGAGUGGCGGACGGGUGAGUAAUGUCUGGGAAACUGCCUGAUGGAGGGGGAUAACUACUGGAAACGGUAGCUAAUACCGCAUACCAUCAGAUGUGCCCAGAUGGGAUUAGCUAGUUGGUGGGGUAACGGCUCACCAAGGAGACGAUCCAUAGCUGGGCUGAGAGGAUGCACAGCCACACUGGAACUGAGACACGGUCCAGACUCCUACGUGAGGCAGCAGUGGGGAAUAUUGCACAAUGUGCGCAAGCCUGAUGCAGCCAUGCGGCGUGUAUGGAGGAGGCCUUCGGGUUGUAAAGUACUUUCAUCGGGGAGGCGUUACCCGCAGAAGAAGCACCGGCUAACUCCGUGCCAGCAGCCGCGGUAAUUC